GACGAACGCUGGCGGCGUGCUUAACACAUGCAAGUCGAACGGAAAGGCCCUGCUUUUGUGGGGUGCUCGAGUGGCGAACGGGUGAGUAUCACGUGAGUAACCUGCCCUUGACUUUGGGAUAACUUCAGGAAACUGGGGCUCAUACCGGAUAUGAGCUCCUGCUGCAUGGUGGGGGUUGUAAAGUUUCGGCGUUUGGGGAUGGAAUCGCGGCUUAUCAGCUUGUUGGUGGGGUAGUGGCUUACCAAGGCUUUGACGGGUAGCCGGCCUGAGAGGGUGACCGGCCACAUUGGGACUGAGAUACGGCCCAGACGCCUACGGGGGGCAGCAGUGGGGGAUAUUGCGCAAUGGGCGGAAGCCUGAUGCAGCAACGCCGCGUGCGGGAUGACGGCCUUCGGGUUGUAAACCGCUUUCGCCUGGGACGAAGCGUGAGUGACGGUAAUGGGUAAAGAAGCACCGGCUAACUACGUG
rnacentral:rRNA from 1 species